rnacentral:antisense_RNA from 1 species
CGACUCCAUUGCAAAGAAACAUAAUAUAUGGAAAAAUUACUAGAAAAUCUAGGAAAACUGACUGAAUGCUUUGGAAAGACACAGUCAAGAUUAAAAAAAAUGUGUCACAAGAAAGUUUACAGAACCUACUCAAACUCAAAGAGAAAUCAGAGACUAAAUUCUCAAAACUGGAAGCUGCCUGCAGCAUCCACACUCUUCAGCCCUGUACUAUGUGAUGUGUAUUACGAAUGGAGCCACCAGCAGUAUUUGUAUGAACAUGAGACAAUGUGUGGCAGAUGCUUGCUGCUUUGUAAUAUUUAGUAAAAUAAAACAAUAAUAAUGUAACUAUAAUA